rnacentral:rRNA from 1 species
AUCUACGGCCAUGCCACCCUGAACGUGCCCAAUCUCGUCUGAUCUCAGAAGCUGAGCAGGGGCGGGCCUGGUUAGUACUUGGAUGGGAGACCACCUAGGAAUACCAAGUGCUAUAGGCA